rnacentral:lncRNA from 1 species
CUUCUACAAAAGCUAAUAAAUACGGUGGAUUCUAGUUGUUAGACUCACAUUAUUCUUCUGAAUGUAUAUUUUAAUUGGAAACUCAUACAUAUUUAACAUGAAUAUAUAAUGGCUUUGAAAUGUGGACGAGCUUAAGUACAGUAUAAUGAAUUACCACUACACCUGGUGUGUAGUUCACAUGUACAUGAGCCUUUUGAUAUUGGGUGAA